GAUGAACGCUGGCGGCGUGCCUAAUACAUGCAAGUCGAGCGAACAGAUGAGGAGCUUGCUCCUCUGACGUUAGCGGCGGACGGGUGAGUAACACGUGGAUAACCUACCUAUAAGGCUGGGAUAACUUCGGGAAACCGGAGCUAAUACCGGAUAAUAUAUUGAACCGCAUGGUUCAAUAGUGAAAGACGGUUUUGCUGUCACUUAUAGAUGGAUCCGCGCCGCAUUAGCUAGUUGGUAAGGUAACGGCUUACCAAGGCAACGAUGCGUAGCCGACCUGAGAGGGUGAUCGGCCACACUGGAACUGAGACACGGUCCAGACUCCUACGGGAGGCAGCAGUAGGGAAUCUUCCGCAAAGGGCGAAAGCCUGACGGAGCAACGCCGCGUGAGUGAUGAAGGUCUUCGGAUCGUAAAACUCUGUUAUUAGGGAAGAACAAAUGUGUAAGUAACUAUGCACGUCUUGACGGUACCUAAUCAGAAAGCCACGGCUAACUACGUG
rnacentral:rRNA from 1 species